AUACAGAGGUGGCGAGCGUUGUUCGGAUUUACUGGGCGUAAAGGGCGCGUAGGAGGCCCCGUGUGUCGACCGUGAAAUCUCCGGGCUCAACCCGGAAAGUGCGGCCGAAACUGCGGGGCUCGAGCAGAGGAUGGGAAAGCGGAACUCAGGGUGUAGCGGUGAAAUGCGUUGAUAUCCUGAAGAACACCGGUGGCGAAGGCGGCUUUCUGGAAUCUUGCUGACUCUGAGGCGCGAAAGUAGGGGGAGCAAACAGGAUUAGAUACCCUGGUAGUCCCUACUGUAAACGGUGUGCACUAGACGUGGGGGGCUUCACCCCCUCCGUGUCCCAGCUAACGUGAUAAGUGCACCGCCUGGGGAGUACGGCCGCAAGGCUAAAACUCAAAGGAAUUGACGGGG
rnacentral:rRNA from 1 species